rnacentral:rRNA from 1 species
AACGGCCGUACCAUGCUGAAUAUACCGGUUCUCGUUAGAUCACCGAAGUCAAGCAUCAUUGGGCGCGGUCAGUACUUUGGUGGGUGACCACCUGGGAACACCGCGUGCCGUUG